GCAGAAUGCUGUAAAUACUGCAUCUUCUUAACCCUUUCUUCUGUCCUUUUUUCAAAACUCACUAUAGCUUCCCUUUCUAUCGAUGGUUUUGCAUAGGGAAAUAACGUUAUGCUAGCAUGAUGUAGUUCACAGAAUGUUGUAAAUGCCGCAUCUUCAUAACACUUUCUUCCGUCCUUUUUUCAAACCUCAGUGGAACUUCCCUUUCUAUUGAUGGAUCUGCGUAGCCAAAGAACAUCACAAUUUGUUUCAAAGGUUUUUUCCCAGGGUUGGGGUUUGCAGCUUGGGAGGUUUGGCCUUGCUAUGCAACUACAAGAAUUGGUGAUUUCGUUGUUGCAAGUGCAACUUUAUUGUACUGUGGCAAUCCUCCAGUUUUGAGCAUGUGUUGGACCUGGUUGUAUAUAGCUCUACAUUCUGCAAUGGAUCAUAGUCUCAUUGUGAGGAUAUUUUUUAGCAUUCUCAGCCCUUGGUCUUUUGCUGCCGCCCCUUUGAGAUUGUUGAUGCUCUGCUUUCCUUUUAUCCUUUCUUUCCUUGAGUGGUGGAUUUCCCUCAGCUGGUUUGUAAUCAAAGCAGCUCUUUUGGCUUCCUCUUCUUUGAU